UUUGCCUUCGUAAUUUGGGGGGCAGUUUAAGGAACCAUCUCACUCUGUAGAAUGUCACUUGUUAGAAAUGGUUUAUACUGUGCUAAAGUCUUUGCACUUUAAAAUAAAUAUCACGUGUCACACAUUUAGCUUAAGUUGAGACUAGUGAUGGGCUAAACUGCGAUUUUCCGAUAUCAGAGAUUUCUGUGAUUGCUACUUUUCAGUAUCUGCUAUUCUUAACUGUGAUUUGUCGCAGUUAAGAGUCGCAGUUAAGGAACGUAGGUCGCGUAUCCCUCCGCCACUGCUAUUUCUGCGAUUUCUGCUACUUCCGCGAUUUCUGUGACUUCUGCUGCUUCUGCGACUUACCACCGUAUGGAAAAGUUACAUCUGCCCACACAGAAAAUUACAUUUCAACAAAUCUGUCAUUGGUACCCGAACUACAUUUCAGUCACUCAAUAAAUUGAUAACUCAACAGAUCUGGAGAAAUUACCACUGCGUCUUUAGACCGUUUUCGUCAGACGAGAGACACUGUUCUGACUCUUGAUUACUAGUUGCUGUACGAAUUUAUCCACAUCAAGGCUGUUGAGAGAGACUCGUGAAGAUUCAAGACAGUUCUUAGAGGAUUUGCAGUUUAAAAGUGACAUAAUUGUGCAGAUGAGUGAUUAAACUGUGUCUUAUUGAAGUUGUUAUGCAAUUUUAAAGGAAUAAUAAAUGUUAAAUACAGUGAGUGAAUAAUGAAAAUCUCA